GCCACCAGAACACCUCUCUUCUCAUGGCAAAGUACCUGCUGUUUUCGAAAAGUCUCCUCCUCUCCUUGUUCCAGGGUUUUAAAGUAGAGCCAAGACCUGUUCCUUGUUUCUGCAGCAGACUGGUCCUCGAAAUAGUGUCCCAUGAUGAAGGCUUUCCCCAUCUUUCCUUCGAACCUGCACAGCCUGGAAGAGCAAAUGGGGCAGUGGUCCUAAGCCAACCUGCUACUCUCACUAUAUUCUUGCCUGCCCGGUGGGCCUCUAAGAGGAAAAACCAAGGACCAGCCACAGAAAGAUGAUUCAAAUUAAGCCAAAUUCAUGAUGAAAUCCUUAGAGGAGUUUAGAAGAUUUAAACUGGAGCACCUCACUUUCCCAUUGGGAAGAUUAAAAACUCAAGGUAUUACUAGAGUUUUUUUUUUUUUUUUUUUUUAACUUUACCUAUAGGUGAACACUACAGGGUUUGUUUAUCAAAAGGCUCUUCCUCUCCCAUUCAAAACUUUCUACCGAGCCAUGUUUCAUGGUACAAUAGGGAAACAUCAUGUUCAGAUUACAGUGGGGAAAGGCACAUCUGCCUGUCCUUCUGUGAUAAGCAGCCUGUGAACUUCUGUGUCCCCACCCACAGGCAGUUAUGGCAUGGCUAUACUGGGUUGGGAAGAGGGGUUCCGGCUCUUACAGUUCAGUGAGGAACCUCAGAGAACCACAGCUGCCUUGGAGAUACUACCUCUGGAAGUCAUUCUAGAGCCUUUGGAGGGCUCCAACCCACAUACUGAAUCUCCUCCCUUGUGGGAUCUCAAUUCCCCGACGCCCUGGUGACCUUCCAAUAACCUAGGUUGCCCUGGUUGUUCAAAACAUGAUCUGCCUCAAAACCUCCUCACCCAGUAUUCAGGAGCCACAGGUCAAGGUGAGGCUAUAGGUCUGCCAAUUGCAAGACACCUGACUCCUGAGAGGGUCACAGGGCAUGUCCAACUGACCCAGGUUUUGGUACAGGUUUCCAGGGUCCUAUGGCUUACCAGGGUGGCUACAGAAAAGGCUCAGUGGCCUGCAGUUCAAAGGUCAAGCCACCAACAGGAGUCAGCACAAAGGAAGGGAGGAAGAUUUGUCAGAUGAGAUGUCACUUUUAGAUAAUGUAGUUUGUGGUUCAGAAUUUAUAAAUAUCUCUUCAUAAUUUUGUUCAACUUUAUUUUAACAUUGGAACCUAUAGGGCACUCUUAAUCUUAUUACAUAAUUUUGGUGGUGUUCAUUUAUCAAAUAUUCCUGAUAUUAAGUCCUACAGAUGAACUGUACACCUUCUAGGAACAUAAGCUUCUCUUCUAUGGCUUUAUGACCUCUAUUAGCAAAUCACAUAUCUCAUAAUUAUUUAUAAACACAUUACCUGCAUAUUUAUACUGUGUAUUCAUUUAAUAAAAAUUAUAAAGAAUCAUCUAUUAUUUAAAAUUUUGCUUUAUAAGCUAUAAUAUUUUAAAAUAUUUAUUCAUUCAUUUUUGAGUAUUUAGGAUGAGAAGGGCACAGGGCUCAAGGCUAUGACUACAAAGAUAAAUGAAGUAAUGUUACUGUCCCCAAGUUUCUACUAGUCCAGUGACAGAUUUUCAUGACUUUUAAACAUAAGGGAAUGGGGGUGGGGAAUGUCUUGAAUUUAUCACCCUGUGUCAAUAAAGAGUGUAUGGUGUAAAUGUCCCCUAGAUGAUAAUUUGCCUGUGUUGUAAAAUGUUACCUAUUUUCAGUCCAUGGAAUUUCAAUUGGAUUUCAGAUGUCUUGACUACAAGCUCUUUGUCUUAGUCAUCAGUGCAUCCUGAUGCUUAACCUGCUGAUAAGUGUUGAGGGAUGAAUGGCCCUUUGAGAGAUAUUCAAUUUCCUAUGCAAACAUAGAUAUAAGAUACAGUCCCUCUCCUACAAGGCAUUUAUCUCUCCAAUUUUGAAGUAGGGCAAAAAUUUAUCUUGAUGACAGAGAGUUAUGAAAUCCUUUUUUGUAAAUGUUAUGGUAAGAAUUCACCCAUCAAGCCUGCACAACUAGAUCUGGGGUGACCACAUCCAUUCAGGUGUGCAGAUAGUGUAACAACACUCACAAUCUGCCGACUGUUCUCCACAGGAGACCAGAGAGAGAUGUUCAUGCAUUACAACCCUUUAGAAUGAGCAGGAAUUCAGAAAGCUCCAUAAACAAUCUCUUUGCCUUAAAGGGCCUUCUUGGUGACGUGAGAUGAACCUGUCUAGAGAUGGCUGUCCCACUUGAGCCACUCUUUCUGGACUUGUCCAAACCUUCCUGACCUCUCCUUCCCUUCUUACCACAGGUGAGAAAGCAAAUCACCACAUCCAUUCUCCUCUGGCCUGUCUUGAUGCCUACUUGUCCCCCACUUCUCCCUACUCUUUGGUAGAAACGAUCAAUACCCUAUGGAUCCCAAGACCCUAAAAUGUCAUCUUCUCUCCCCACCCUCCACUAUAGACCAGGACUAUAUCUGUUGACCAAGACACCUAUAUCUGCCUCUUUCCACCUUCAUGGAAGCAGAUUUUGAGACUGCCUUGGAGGGAAUUCCAAGGCAGUUGUGUUACCCUGCCUGGGUGAUAAAGGCUGCAAGGGAGAGAAGGGGUAGCACUGAGGGAGUUCUCUACCAUCACUGUAACCAGAGAUUCCAGUGAAAUGUCUCAUCCUGGUUCCAUUCUCCAGUCACUCUCUCAGUUUCAGUCAUAAAGAAGAAAAUAUGAGGCCUUCAUACUAUCCUGGGAGAAUUGAGGGUCCCCACAAGUAUUUCCUGAUAAAACUUGCUUAGAAGUCCAAAUGUGCUACAUCUCUGAGUCACCUGGGUGUUUGGAAACAGGUCAGUUGUUCAGGCCCUUCAACAAAUAGACCUCUUACCUGCUGAUUUAAUAAA